CCCUGCCAGGUGCCGUGCAGCAGCUGGUGUUGUGAAUCAGGCCGUCACCAGUCGGAGAACGGCUACUUCACAACACCAGGGUGGCACUGCACCACA
rnacentral:pre_miRNA from 12 species